ensembl:lncRNA
GGAUAAUAUCAUUUGUAAAGCUCCUCAUGUGACGUGAGCAUGAGCCGAUUUGAUUAGCGGCGCGGUGAUAAGGAUCCAGACAUCGAGUGUUUUCCGCUGGGUAACCUAGCAACCCAUUAGCCCGUAAACAGCGGGCUCUGACAUUCGUGGCGAGCUGAGAAGUUUGAACCGUCUAAUUGCUGACAUCAAAGCGGACUUUGGCGAGCCAUGUGACAUCACCCGGCGGUACGCUGGUCACACGCACGUGGUGUUGACCCAAGCUACAUAACCUCCAAGUACUCGAGGCCAAAACAACAGACCAGCCUGUGCUGAGCGCGGUCAAAGCAGCAUGACGCAGCUUUCUGCUGACCGGGCAUCACAGUCUUUACUUUGCCUGUGCAUAUUAUAAGACUCAUAAAGGCAAGCAAAUAUACAUAUAAAUAUAUAUAUAUAUACAUAUAUGUUCUAGAUUAGCUGAUCUUUAAGGAGAAGGAAUUGCUACACCUUACAGUUCCGCGUAAAUGAAAAAACUCAAAUAUAUUAAAUGACGGUUUGAUCCGGAUGGGGUUUUUUUUAUAUGCCUGUAAGCCUGCUGUCUUUCAAGGCAGGACCUUGAAAACACGAGUGUCUUGAAAAGGGCUUUUUCAGAGGCACAAGGUCUCUCUCUCUCUCUGCCCUGUUUUUUUGUGGUGCGGAGAAAAGCGGUUAUGGAAGAAGGAACGCUCCGGCUUUCUAGCAGAAAGUCACAUAUUUCUAAAUGAAAGGCCUUUCGCAACAAGGAUGCAAUCAUGUUUCUCUGAAAGGGCUGUCUGCCCUUUGGCCUCGGAUGUCUCUUAUAGGCAAGCAAGGGAAGCAAAGGAGAGGGAACAAAUGAGAACAGCCGUAAUGACAAACUUUUUCUAUACCUCACCCAUUCGUGCUAAUACGGAACCUCUAUCUCUCCUGCUCCCCUUCCAGGCCGUGUCAACGUUUACUCAUUAUCUAUCCAACCAUCCAUCCAUCUCGGGUAUUUGAGUAGGAAUUAGCUGGUAUUGCCAAAGCAUUGUUUCCCACGCAGCACUUUGGGUGGUUAACAGAGGAGCGUAGGAGUAGUUUCGAUCCGUCAGGUAGGUCAGGUUUCUCUUAACACGUCUACAUACCUGUGUGAAACUGUUUGGGUGCGUUUUGGAUGUGUGUGUGUGUGUGUGUGUGUGUGUGUGUGUGUGUGUGUGUGUGUGUGUGUGUGUGUGUGUGUGUGUGUGUGUGUGUGUGUGUGUGUGUGUGAGUGUGUGUGUGUGUGUGUGCUCGUAUUGAGACACUUAAGACGGAGGUGAGGAAUCCGAUUGUUCUGGAUGUGGCAGGUGAACACAGCGAGGCAGCCAAUCAGGUUUCUCCUUCUUCUCCAGCAACAUGUUAGAAGGUUCUCCCCGUGUAGAAGGUGCUCAGUGAGUCUCAUGGACAGAAAAAAUACACGCAAUGUAGAGCAACGUGAAGCAAUGUAGAACAACAUGAAACAAUGUAGAACAACGUGAAGCAAUGUAGAGCAAUGUGAAGCAAUGUAGAGCAACGUGAAGCAAUGUAGAGCAACGCUAAACAAUGUAGAGCAACGUGAAGCAAUGUAGAGCAACGUAAAGCAAUGUAGAGCAACGUGAAGCAAUGUAGAGCAAUGCAAAGCAACGUAGAGCAACGUGAAGCAAUGUAGAGCAAUGUAAAGCAAUGUAGAGCAACAUGAAACAAUGUAGAGCAAUGUGAAGCAAUGCAGAGCAACGUGAAGCUAUGUAGAGCAAUGUGAAACAAUGUAGAGCAACGUGAAACAAUAUAGAGCAGUGUGAAGCAAUGUGAAGCAAUGUGAAGCAAUGUAGAGCAACGCGAAACAAUGUAGAGCAAUGUGAAGCAAUGUGAAGCCGGCUUUUUGGAAACUCCUCCGCCUUCAAAGCGAACCUGGUCUGAUAAUCGAAGGUGGAGUUCGCAGCUGAGGGCCUCGUUACGCCGGGCAAUUAAAACGCUUUGCAAUGAUUAACUAAAUGUGGCGUUGACAAUGACACAGUUGAGAACCCCUUUUACUUUCUCGAGGGGACAACAAAGUAGAGAAAAUACCAAAAGGUGAGUUGAGUCGAGCCGGACCGCGCAGUGAAUACGAGGCAUACGUGGUCAGAAUCCAGAGAAUUAUUCACACACUUCCUACCCCAUACUUGCACAAGGAAAGGUCAAUAAACUCAGAAUAAUGGAUGCUGUUAGCAUAUUAAUACCCAUGUGGGUGUAACACGUCGAUGUCCAUAUGCUUAGUAUACAUUAACUGCAGCCACUUGUAGUUAAAAGGCUCCCAUUUCCGUGGGACUAUUUAGCAGCUGAGUGGAGGAAACGCCGGCGCGGACGGUAUUAACGUGUGACGUAGGCAGCGGCGAGAGUGUUGCGUCUCUUCUCUCGUUCGCAGUAAGUCGACUUUUCUUUAUGUUCCAGCUCCUGCGAGGAAACGGACAGAAUGUGGAAGCUCAUUAAAUGUCCUCGCUCGGUCUGAGCACCUGCAGUCGGCCAGACGCUCUCUCAGGCUCCCACACUCACACAGACCAACACGCACACGCACAAGCUUGCUACUUGGAAGCCGCUAUUUUGCACUUAAAAGUCUGAAUUCCCUUUGCUGUAAAUUAUCACAUUUUUUUCAGAUAACUUUAGCAAUGCAAGUUUUUUAUUUCAUGUGCAUGUGGAAAGUCGACGGCGCUCCUUUUCACUGGAUGAAACAAAUCUAUCAACAUGGACACUUUUUGUUGUUGCACAGUACAGUACGUACACCUAUACGCACACACACUCUGUUUAAUCCCUUUCAUUGCGGGUGGCUGUGCGGGCGGAUGCUGUUUAAACAGAGCGGGCCCUCAAUGUGGGGCCUUCGGGGGCCCGGGGGUUUGCGCGUGUGUCUUUCACCCUGGAUGUGUAUGUGUGCCUCGCCGAGUUUUCUGGCCAUGGGAACAAUGGUCCUUUAGAAUGUGAGGUUACUGGUGCGCUGACCCCUGGCAAAUAAGAGCCAUGUUCUGGCAUUCCGGGCCUGAUUGGCACUUUGAGCCUGCCGAGAGCUCAAAGGAGACACAGGAAAUGUGACCGGUGUAAUUGGUUAUAUAUUAGCGGAGCAUUCGCCGCUGUUUAAAUGAUGGAACAUUCUUCAGUGACACUUAGGUGGACGGGGAUGGGAUUCCACCAGCCAGAGGGAGAGAGGGGGGAGGACAAAAAAGGGGUUGAAGAGGAGGGGGGGGGGGGUAAGAAAGGCAAGGUGAGUGGAAAAGAAGGUACAGAGGGCAAAGGGACGUGGAAAGAUUUGUUCCAAACUGAUUCAGAGAAGUGGGAGCUUUCAUGCAGAAAAGGGGCGUCGCGGAGAAAGUGUCGGGGAGGGGAGGGGGGGGGGGCGCCGCCUCCCAUGUGCUCGUUGUGCAUUUACCCCCCCCGCGGUGGCGGACGGGGCUGCCGGGUCACAUGUUCAGCGCCCUCCCUCUGGAGCGUGGCGAGCAGCGAGGGCUCCGUGCGGGGAGUGCGGUUGCGGGCAAAUCAGUAGCUUGACCUUUGACCUUUCGGGGUGCUCGGGCUCAGUUGGUGGAGGCUUCGUCCCGCGGUGCCUCCUGUGCGACGUGUUUCACGACCAUCGUGUUUGCUUCCCCCUUCUGCAGAAAACCCAUUUGCGCGUAAAAUGUAUCUUUUCAAACCGGAGCAGCUCCUGUGUAAGUGGAUGGAAAGCUGGUGCGCAUAGAUCUCCAGCCCGGGGGCCGGAAGAAUGAGGUGUUACCUCCAGGGGAAGCUUCAGAGGCAGCAUUCCUAGCUUAUACAAAGAAUUUAGGAAUGCGAUGGGCACCGAUGGGUGCUAAUGUCUUCACUGAGGAGAUCUUAUCUAGGCCCUGCCCAUUGUAAACAAAGUGAUUAUUAGGGAAGUUUAGAUAACAUUAGUCUGGCCGAGACCCCUUUUAGCGCAGCGUUGGGACACACACACACACACACACACACACACACACACACACAUUGUACAUGCACACCAUGGUAUGUGGCCUUUGGGUAAAUAGAAGACGGAGAUCUUCUUAAACUAAGACUGUCAGUUUGUGUCGGUCGGGCCAAUAAAUCCUAUGGGAAGCAGGAGAACGUUGUGAAAAUGUACCACCCACUCCCAUCAGCGCGGAGACCGCCUUUGGGUUGGCUGAAGUUCCCAACGAGAAGAUGACAGCGGCGACACAGUUGGAGACCAUGUGGACCAUUCAAAUUCACUUUUAGUUAUUUUUGGGAAGGCAGAGAGAGAGCACUGCUAGUAAGGGAUUAAUUAACAGAAACCAUCCCGGUUAAAUGUGUGUUACAAUUAUCUUGGAAUCACACAAAGAACAUUUUGUAAACGCAGUGCAGCAAAGCGGUGUAACUGCAUUCAGCACCAUCAGCCUCCAUCCGUCAACAUCCUCACACCUCGAUGUGUUUCCCAGCAUGCUCAGCGUGCAUGCGCCUCUAUUUCCACUGCCUGCACAAGCAAGCUCACUUCAACCGUUCCACCACAUAUUUCCUCCUUACUCCAAACAUUGUCCUCAUGCGCAGCGUGACUCUCUCCCGAGCUAUUUCCUAUAUCUGCUCGCCGGCGUGCACACGCGCCCUCGCGCCCGUCCUGGUGUGUGUGUGUGUGUGUGUGGCUGCGAGGAGGGCGAGUUGAUUCAUAUCCUGGGUUGGUAGCCGGGAGAACCGAAGAGCAUUCCAGCGCAUUCCAUGCUGAGGUGAGCAGCGGGGCGGAGGGGAAGACGCAGGCAAGUCUGUGGAUGUCAGUGACUCAGACCUCUCGGGAUCAUCUGUCCUUCUUGAAGGAGGCCGCCACGGGUUGGAGCCGCCCGGAGGCUCGGGCUGAAUUUUCACAAUUCCUUUCCCGUAGACCCUCCAGGUGGGACCGUAUUUCAGGUGGGGGU